CUAACUUAUAAGGUACAAUGACAUGUAUUUGCAUUUUUCAAAAUCUGGGAGAGAGAAACUGAAUAUGGGAUCUUAUGUUGGUGAUGCGAGGAUGAGGCAAAAAUUGCUUCGUGUCGCUUGCUAUGCGAAGUCAAGUUAUUGAUGAAAACAAGAAAAAAAAGUAAUUAUGAUUUCACCCACCACUUUGGUGUUAUCGUCCCAGACAUUACCUCUAUCCCAAUGAAGGAGUAAUUGUCAACCAACUUAUAUCCCAAUAAUUCAUUAUCAACAUAUUCUUUAAAAGUACUCACUUUAUAAGAUUUGACUAAAUUAAUUAAUGUCUAUUGAGGUUCGGCUCUUGCACGAAUUUCACACAUACGAAAAGCUUUAUUGCAUCGAGCUAUCCUUUUUAAUGCUUGUAUAAUGUCUGAUAUUUCUAUCUUUAUCUUUUUUUUUCUUUUUAUUUUUUUUAUUGGAGCAAAGGAGUUGAAUUACAUGUUUAGGUGACUAAAAGGGGUGACUUUGACAAGGUUGGUGAUGCGAGGGUGAAGAAAAAAUUACUCUGUGUCGUUUGCCGUGUGAAGUAAAACUUACCGAUGAAAACAAAUAAACAAAGUAAUUAUGAUUUCACCAACUAGUUUGGCGUUAUCGUCCCUGUUAUUACCUCAAUUCCAAUAAAGGAGUAAUCGACAAGCAGAUGAUAAUCAUUCGUUUCAGGAAAAAAUUAUAGAAUUUCGUGCAAAUUAUGUAAGAUUAGUUUGUUAUUUUAUCUCUAAUAGAUGGUCAUAACUUUAUCUCGGUUCGAACACUACUAAGGGGUCCACUAAAAAAAGGACAAUUCGGUACAUUAAACUUCCAAUGUGCGCAGCGUUCAAAGAAAAACCUGACCACAAAGAUCAACUAAGAGGUCGACUAGAGAUAAGAAAUUAUUGAAGAAACAACAAAUGACGUUCUAGGAAAUGCCUCAUGUAGUGUGAUACUUUUGGGACUUCUUAGAUUCAACUAAUGGACUUAUUUGGGCUUUUUGGAUUUGCUAAGGGAUUAUUGGGCCUCUACAUUUCGUAGUCCAUAAUCUAUUUGGUACUAGUCCAACAAAAUUUUGAGUUAUAUAUGUUAUUUCCAUCGAAGUGACUAAUAUAUUAAACUUUGGUACGUUGAAUAAGAGUAAUAAUUUCGAGAAAAAUAAUGAGAUUAACUUUAUCCCUUACUUGAUUUGAGAAAUUAACUAAUUUUGAAAUUAUUUUGGAUAUUCUUUUUCUCUAUAUCUAACCAUUG